CUUUUUUUCGUUGGCCUUUUGCAUUUUGGAAAAAUUGUCUUCUGGUCCCUUGAUGUCUCCGCGCACCAUGUGGUCAACAUAAUGCUCCUUCGAUUGUUGCGAUUACAUUUUGUAAGGGUUAUUUGUUGGGUAGCUUGGUGAGACCAUAAAAAAAAAAAAAAAAAAAAACCAAGAGGCAGGCAACAGAGCAACGAUUUUCAUAGAGUUCGGCUUAGGAUCUAUUCUCUAGGCACUCUUGAGAUUUGCCUCGGACCUGUUAGAAUAGCCAUGACAAGGGGUGGAGCUUUUGGGAAAUUUUGAAGUAUCAACUAAUAUGGCUGAACCGUGGUCAAACUCCCAGGUCUAUUCAGACAAAUACCCUUCUACACAACAUUCUCAAUACCACGGCAUAUGGAUAUCAGUUGUCCCCGGGCUAGCAACUCCCUUGAGCCGAAGUCUUCACUAAUGUGUUCACUGGACUGCUGAUUGAUUACCUGAAUGAAUAUGAGAAGAUUUUCUAAGGAGAGAAUAGAAGCAUCCCAGCAAACAAAAAGCCUCCAUCCUUUUUAUUUUUUUUUUGUAGGUUUGUAAAGUUACAGCAGUUCAAUCUCCAUCCCUUAAAUUUGCCUAGAAAUAUAAACUCCACCUUAUAAUUAUGUGUUG